UGCCAGCCGCCGCGGUAAUACGGAGGGUGCAAGCGUUAUCCGGAUUUAUUGGGUUUAAAGGGUGCGCAGGCGGGGCGAUCAGUCAGUGGUGAAAUCCUACAGCUUAACUGUAGAACUGCCUUUGAUACUGCAAAUCUUGAGUUCGGAAGGGAGAGGCGGAAUUCCAGGUGUAGUGGUGAAAUACGUAGAUAUCUGGAAGAACACCAGAGGCGAAGGCGGUCUCUCGGUCCGAAACUGACGCUGAGGCGCGAAAGCGUGGGGAGCAAACAGGAUUAGAUA
rnacentral:rRNA from 1 species